rnacentral:rRNA from 1 species
GCGUGCAUGAUGAAGGUCUUCGGAUCGUAAAAUGCUUUUCUGAGAGAUGAGAAAGGACAGUAUCUCAGGAAUAAGUCUCGGCUAACUACGUGCCAGCAGCCGCGGUAACACGUAGGAGGCAAGCGUUAUCCGGAUUUACUGGGUGUAAAGCGCGUGCAGGCGGUUCGGUAAGUUGGAUGUGAAAGCUCCUGGCUCAACUGGGAGAGGUCGUUCAAUACUACCGGACUCGAGGACAGUAGAGGGAGGUGGAAUUCCCGGUGUAGUGGUGAAAUGCGU